AUGCCAUGAUGUGGGCACUUCCUUAGCAAUUCAUUCAAUCUCUCCCACGCUUCACGUGGAAGCUCCCCAUCCCAAUGAGUAAAUUCCCUAAUAGCAAUUCUCAUUGAGUUG